CAGCAUAUCAAUAAGCGGAGGAAAAGAAACCAACAGGGAUUGCCUCAGUCCCGGCGAGUGAAGCGGCAACAGCUCAAAUUUGAAAUCUGGCCUCACGGCCCGAGUUGUAAUUUGUAGAGGAUGUUUUGGGUACCGCCGCGGUUUAAAUUUCUUGGAACAGAAUGUCAAAGAGGGUGAGAAUCCCGUCUUGGACCGCGGUAGGGCCUGUGUAAAACUCCUUCGACGAGUCGACUUGUUUGGGAAUGCAGGUCAAAAUGGGUGGUAAAUUUCAUCUAAAGCUAAAUAUUGGCCAGAGACCGAUAGCGCACAAGUAGAGUGAUCGAAAGAUGAAAAGCACUUUGAAAAGAGAGUUAAACAGUAUGUGAAAUUGUUGAAAGGGAAGCGCUGGCAACCAGACUCGUGCGCGGGGUUCCCCUCAGUUUCGGCUGGGGCUACUUCCCCGUGUCCGGGCCAUCAUCAGUUUUGGGGGCUGGUCAAAGGUUUCAGGAAUGUAUCCACGCCUUCGGGGGUGGACUUAUAGCCUGGAGCGUCAUGCAGCCACCCGGGACUGAGGAACGCGCUUCGGCGAGGAUGAUGGCGUAAUGGUUGUCAGCGACCCGUCUUGAAACACGGACCAAGGAGUCUAACAUCUAUGCGAGUGUUCGGGUGUCAAACCCUUGCGCGGAAUGAAAGUGAACGGAGGUAGGAAGGCUGUUGCCUGCACUAUCGACCGAUCCGGAUGUCUUCGGAUGGAUUUGAGUAAGAGCAUAGCUGUUGGGACCCGAAAGAUGGUGAACUAUGCGUGAAUAGGGUGAAGCCAGAGGAAACUCUGGUGGAGGCUCGCAGCGGUUCUGACGUGCAAAUCGAUCGUCAAAUUUGCGUAUAGGGGCGAAAGACUAAUCGAACCAUCUGGUAGCUGGUUCCUGCCGA
rnacentral:rRNA from 1 species